rnacentral:tmRNA from 1 species
GGGGAUGAUCGGUUUCGACACUGUAGAUGUGCGUGGAUGAAGCGGGUCGAGGAUGCAGAGUUAUCUCGUUAACGCUCUCUGCAAAACUAUAGGUGCCAAAUCAAAGCGCGCCGACUUCGCCCUAGCUGCUUAAGCUAGCCCCGAAGUCCGUCUGACUGAGUUUGAUUUCGACUCAGAAUCAAGACGUCAUUUAGAAAUCUCGCUGGUUGGUAGCGUCUAGGUGCCAUCCGGGACUUUAUACCUGGACUGGGCCCGUCGGUUAGGUCGCUUCAAGCUAUGACCGGGGCCGAGAAAACAGUAUUGAAGCUACACCCGUAGAAUCUCCAUAAUCGCUGCCGUGGACGGGGGUUCAAUUCCCCCCAUCUCCAC